CAGUUGGCGAAGGAUUUGCUCUAUAGGUGUUGCUUUGGUUUCUGAAUUGGCACGUUUGGCAGGUGUACCCAUGUAUAUGGUAUAUCCUCCUAGAACCCUGGCGACCAUGUAAAACUAUACUACACUCACCCAGUAGUACUAACUCAGACAGAGGAGGCUGAGAUGAAAUUGAAUUGCUGGGUAGUAACAUGAGAAUGAGGGGAUGACCUUCUCCAAGGAUGACUUUCAAUUAGCUUCAAAUCCAACACAAAUCUAAGAAAUACACAGAAAGG